UCCGGUGGUGAAGUCCCCUGCGCAUGCGCAGAAUAGUACUUCCUCAAUGGCGGCUAUAAUUUCGCGCCACUACAAAGUAUUCCAGCGCAUCUCCCUUGCUAUCCUCCGGGGUAACGCCUUUUCCAUUUUGUCUGCUGGUGCCAUGAGAAAUGUUUCUAUAUUGUGAGUGACAAGAUUCUCCGUUAAUGCUUCUAUUUACACAUAAUCGCCUAUGUAUAUCCCUUUCUUUUCUUCAUUUUUUCCCAAAUAUUCUGAAUUUCAAUAGAUUAAAUUAAUUUCAGAAAAGGAAUUUAGAAACAAAGAGGGAAAGGAAAUCUUUUCCUUGUUAGUUGUCAAGCUGACAGCUAUGGACGUAUGUCGGUUUUAUUGUGUAUCUCUAGGAAGCAUAAUCAAGCUCGAGCAUGCAUGAUCGAUCGACAAUUUUUGUUGUUUUUCUGUCUUAAUAUCGAAAGAACUCUAAAUCUUUUGGCCAGUAAUAAAUGGUCAAUAAGAAAAAAAAUAUGAUCUAAGGGAAAUAACUUAGAUAAACGAAAAAGGUUAGUGUGCAAUGAGUUCUCACGUUUCUUUGAAAAAAAGAAAUGUUAUAUAUAUCGGCAUUAUCUGUAUUAUCUAUUGAAAGAAAAUACAAUCAAAUACCUAAAUUUACAUAAAUUCUAGCUCGUUUACGAGCUUAACUAUAGACUAAGUUAUAACGUAACUCAAAACUAAACAAGAACUUAAAUUUUGAUGACACCGUAUCAAAACAAAACUAACUCCGUCUUCUAAAGAGCUCCACGAAAUAUCACCUUGAAAAAUUAAUAAGAAAUCAACAUGGCAAGGCGGCCCUUAUCUCGGUUCACGAAAAUUAAUAUCGGAUGGGGUAUUCUUGUUGUGGUUGGCAUAACAAGUUUUGCCGUUGCCAGGACAUUGGUUCAAAACCAGCGCUAUGAAGUGAUGAAGAGUAAACAGAGAGUUCGAGAUGCCUGUAAACAAGAUGUUUUGGAUGCAGAGGCUAAAACAGUAUCCUAGCAUUUGCACAAUAUACACCAAGUGCAUCUAGUUUUCAUGAGUUGCUGGAGAACUAUUUAGAAUGAAGCCAGUAUCUCUUUCUGGAGUAAAUGGCUUAUUCAAGAAAGGUUUCUAACAAUCGUUUUAAUAGUGAGAAAAGUGCUAAGGGCCAAAUAAGUUUGGCCAAAUCUCUGAACUGACUUUCAAUUUCCAAUUGCUGUAAUGCAAUUGGAAAUGUGUAUGCAUCAUAAAACAUCAUUUUGAUGUCAAUAUAUGUAUGUAUGCAUGUACAUAUGUAUGUAACCUCUUACCCUUCAUAUGCACUCACAUGGAAUGUAAAAUGAAAACAUGGGUGUUUAAAGAAAUGAAAUUGUAGAAAAUUGAUUUAUGAGAAGUUUUUUUCACAGAUGUGUUAUUGUGAUAAUAAUUAAAUUAUUUCUGGCUUUCAGGCUCAUCUUUUCAUACAGUUAUGUUUAACUGUUUUCAGUACCCACUCGCCUGCCUAAAACUGCUUAUAUUAAAACAUUCAUAUCUUAAAUUCUCAAUCCAGAUUUCAUUAUUACAUGAGUAAAAUACAAAAUUUCAGCAGUUAAA